rnacentral:tRNA from 1 species
GGGGUUGUGGCUCAACGGUAGAGUGCUUGCCUAGAAUGCAUGAGGCUCUGGGUUCCAUCCCCUGAACCACA